rnacentral:rRNA from 1 species
GAUGAACGCUGGCGGCGUGCCUAAUACAUGCAAGUCGAGCGAACGGACGAGAAGCUUGCUUGUCUGACGUUAGCGGCGGACGGGUGAGUAACACGUGGAUAACCUACCUAUCAGACUGAUAUAACUUCGGGAAACCGGAGCUAAUACCGGAUAAUAUUUUGAACCGCAUGGUUCAAUAGUGAAAGACGGUCUUGCUGUCACUUAUAGAUGGAUCCGCGCUGCAUUAGCUAGUUGGUAAGGUAACGGCUUACCAAGGCAACGAUGCAUAGCCGACCGGAGAGGGGGAUCGCCCACACUGGAGCUGAGCCACGGUCCAGACGCCUACGGGACGCAGCAGUAGGGAAUCUUCCGCAACGGGCGAAAGCCUUACGGAGCAACGCCGCGUGAGUGGUGGAGGUCUUCGGAUCGUAAAACUCGGUUAUUAGGGAUGAACAUAUGUGUAAGUAACUGUGCACAUCUUGACGGUACCUAAUCAGAAAGCCACGGCUAACUACGUG